UUAGAAUAAGCAUCACAGUGCAAUGUCCAGAUUGAAACCAGAUAGUGGGGGAGAGAAAUCAGCAUUUGAAUGAACAAGGGUAAAUUGUAUAUACUCCAUAAGAACAUUAUACCAACAGUGGACUCAGGAAACUGGAAGGAAAGAUGGCAGAACAGAGCCGGGGGCACAGGGGAGAAUGGAAGAACUGAAGAGGGUGAUGCCUUGGUCCAUGCUGUAGCCAGAAACCAUGUCCAUGCUCUGCGCUGCUGCUGACUAUAAAGUCUCCCAGGUGGUACUCGUUUGGAAGGCCUGAAGGGGUCCUGGAGAAUAGCUGAGGCUUGGCACCAUGAAGAGAGCCUAUGAGAGGCCAUUGGGGAAAGUGCAGGCCAGUGGCAGCAGAAGAUCCUACUGUUUUGGAGAUGCCAGUGCCUUGGAUGACCACCAAGAACAGCAGUGGAGUAGAGCCAGCGGGCGCUGAGGAGACAAGCUGUGUGUGCUGCAGAGGGCAGAACUGGAAAAGUGACGAAUGCUCUUUGGAGGAGCCCAGGAGGCUGCGCCCACAGCUGAAGACUUCAAACUUUAUUUUGUUUUCCAGGCUAGCCUUGAACUCACAGAGAUCUGAUUGUCUCUGCCUCCCGAGUGCUGGGAUUAAAGGCAUGGACCACCACAGCCUGGCUGACUUAAAACUUUUAGAAGAGAUUUUUGAUUUUUAGAGAGAUUGGCUAUUUUAAAGAGUCUGAAAUGUUAAUGUGCUUGAAUUUAUAAGGACUGUGGGACUUUUAAAGUUCUUUGUUUUUAAUGUGAGAUCUUCAGGAUGCAUAAGAAUGGAAAGGUUAUGACUUACUUAGUGAUUUGUUUGUGUGUGGAGUUGACAAGGGGUCAGUUGUGUUGGUGUUACCCCAAGAGAGGGAGGAACCUCUUAGUGUUGUUUUGCUAAAUGACAUGUUAGCAGACUGCUUCCUAAGAAUUUUGCUUGCAUCUGUAGAUUAGUACUGCCCUCAAGCCAGGGAAGGAAAGUUUCUCUCUGGAGUGGUCAACAGUUAAUGCAGAGACUUAUAACUGGUCAAAGUGAUGAGGAGGGAUGUCUAUUGAGUGCUAAACACGAUAGGGGAUAUUUGUGUCUGUAGGAGGUGUGGAGGUCUUUGUGUUCACAGAUAAGUACUAGGGAAACUUGGAAUGCCAAGUACACUGGGUUGUUCCUUAAAGGGAAGGAAGGAAUGCAGCUCCUGCUCUCUCUCCAGAAGACUGGCAGCAGAUGUGCUUAGCAGCCUGGUGGCUUCUGUGCCGUGUGGCCGGAGACUUCUCUGGCCAUGACUUUUCCCCACACCCUUAUUUAAUUUUCUUACUCAGUAAACCUAGAGAACUUAUCUUUAUAGACUUUACAAAGAGUUUCAAUAUAGCCAUGUUUGAUGUGAAUUUACCUUAUUUGUUCCUCGAGAUUUAUGUAUGCUUUCUUGUGCAUGUCAGUUGAGUUACUUAUAGCCAGAAUAGUUUUCACCAAAUUGUGCUGUGCUUAAUACACAUGAACUAUUAAGGGUCAGACCCCAGAAGUUUGAACCAACACUGUUGAGUCAUGUUGAACGGAACUGCCUCCGAGCCUCCUGCAGAUGUCACUAUGCUGUGAAGGCCAUAGAGACCCUACGUAUGUCACCUUGGCCCACCAAGGCUCAGGAAACAUCAGAAGAGAGAUGGAAAGCAUGUAGGAUCCAGAAGAUGUACUGUGAGGUGCCGUCUUUUCAUGAACUCUGACCUGGAUAAGCCUGCAGGAGAUCAAGUGAAUGAAUCCUGUCAACAUUCCAAUAGGCAGCAUGAGUUGGAUUCAAUGUAUUAUGAGUAACACAAAAAGAAAAACACAAAGAG